rnacentral:rRNA from 1 species
UAGACUUAGUGGCGGACGGGUGAGUAACGCGUGGAUAACCUGCCUUAUACAGGGGGAUAACGGAGAGAAAUUUCCGCUAAGACCGCAUAAGACCACAGCACCGCAUGGUGCAGGGGUAAAAUAUUUAUAGGUAUAAGAUGGAUCCGCGUCCGAUUAGCUGGUUGGUGAGGUAGAGGCUCACCAAGGCGACGAUCGGUAGCCGGCCUGAGAGGGUGAACGGCCACAUUGGGACUGAGACACGGCCCAAACUCCUACGGGAGGCAGCAGUGGGGAAUAUUGGACAAUGGGGGAAACCCUGAUCCAGCGACGCCGCGUGAGUGAAGAAGUAUUUCGGUAUGUAAAGCUCUAUCAGCAGGGAAGAAAAUGACGGUACCUGACUAAGAAGCCCCGGCUAACUACGUGCCAGCAGCCGCGGUAAUACGUAGGGGGCAAGCGUUAUCCGGAUUUACUGGGUGUAAAGGGAGCGCAGACGGCAAUGCAAGUCUGAAGUGAAAGGCGUGGGCUCAACCCAUGAACUGCUUUGGAAACUGUAUAGCUUGAGUGUCGGAGGGGUAAGCGGAAUUCCUAGUGUAGCGGUGAAAUGCGUAGAUAUUAGGAGGAACACCGGAGGCGAAGGCGGCUUACUGGACGACAACUGACGUUGAGGCUCGAAGGCGUGGGGAGCAAACAGGAUUAGAUACCCUGGUAGUCCACGCAGUAAACGAUGAAUACUUGGUGUUCGGGGAGGUAAACUUUUCGGUGCCGCAAGCUAACGCAUUAAGUAUUCCACCUGGGGAGUACGUUCGCACGAAUGAAACUCAAAGGAAAUGACGGGGACCCGCACAAGCGGUGGAGCAUGUGGUUUAAUUUGAAGCAACGCGAAGAACCUUACCAAAUCUUGACAUACUCUUGAAUAGUUUUGUAAUGAGACUAGACCUUCGGGACAAGAGAUACAGGUGGUGCAUGGUUGUCGUCAGCUCGUGUCGUGAGAUGUUGGGUUAAGUCCCGCAACGAGCGCAACCCUUGUCGUCAGUAGCCAGCAGUAAGAUGGGCACUCUGACGAGACAGCCGGAGAUAAUCCGGAGGAAGGUGGGGAUGACGUCAAAUCAUCAUGCCCCUUAUGAUUUGGGCUACACACGUGCUACAAUGGCGUAAACAAAGUGAAGCAAAGCCGCGAGGUCAAGCAAAUCACAAAAAUAACGUCUCAGUUCGGAUUGUAGUCUGCAACUCGACUAUAUGAAGCUGGAAUCGCUAGUAAUCGCAGAUCAGAAUGCUGCGGUGAAUGCGUUCCCGGGUCUUGCACACACCGCCCGUCA